AGAAGUACUUGAUGUUCUGUAAAUAUCCAGCAAUGUUUGAACACGAUGUUCAAACAAGCCGCCGCUGAGCCAUGGAUGGCGAAUCGGCGGCGUUUGCGUCCGUUAUCAAAACUUAUAUCAGAACAUCUUUAGUACUUCUUAGUUUCA
rnacentral:ncRNA from 1 species